rnacentral:rRNA from 1 species
UACAGAGGACUGCAAGCGUUAUUCGGAUUCACUGGGCGUAAAGGGUGCGCAGGCGGUUGGGUGUGUCAGAUGUGAAAUCCCGAGGCUUAACCUCGGAACUGCGUCUGAAACUACUCGACUAGAGUACGUGGAGAGGGAAACGGAAUUCACGGUGUAGCAGUGAAAUGCGUAGAUAUCGUGAGGAACACCAGAGGCGAAGGCGGUUUCCUGGACAGUUACUGACGCUGAUGCACGAAAGCUGGGGGAGCAAACAGG